rnacentral:rRNA from 1 species
AUUGAACGCUGGCGGCAUGCUUUACACAUGCAAGUCGAACGGUAACAGGCCGCAAGGUGCUGACGAGUGGCGAACGGGUGAGUAAUGCAUCGGAACGUGCCCAGUCGUGGGGGAUAACUACUCGAAAGAGUAGCUAAUACCGCAUACGAUCUAUGGAUGAAAUCGGGGGACCGUAAGUCCUCGCGCGAUUGGAGCGGCCGCUGUCAGAUUAGGGAGUUGGUGGGGUAAAGGCUCACCAAGCCAACGAUCUAUAGCCGACCUGAGAGGAUGACCGGCCACACUGGCACUGAGACACGGCCCAGAGUCCUACGGGAGGCAGCAGUAGGGAAUCUUCAGCAAUGGGCGAAGGCCUGACGGAGCAAAGCAGCGUGAGUGAAGAAGGAUUUCGGUUCGUAAAGCUCUGUUGUUAGGGAAGAAUGGAUAUGUAGUAACUAUACGUGUAAGAGACGGUACCUAACCAGAAAGCCACGGCUAACUACGUG